rnacentral:rRNA from 1 species
AGGCCAAUCAAAUUCCGUGAUAGCUGGUUCUCUCCGAAAUGCAUUUAGGUGCAGCGUCGGUUGAUUGCAUCGCGGGGGUAGAGCUACUGGAUGCUUGCGGGCCCGUGUCGGGUACCAAUAGCAGCCAAACUCCGAAUACCGUGGAUGUGUAUUCCGGCAGUGAGUCGGCGGGGGAUAAGCUCCGUCGUCGAGAGGGAGACAGCCCAGAUCGUCGUCUAAGGUCCCGAAGCGUGUGCUAAGUGGGAAAGGAUGUGGAGUCGCAUAGACAGCCAGGAGGUUGGCUCAGAAGCAGCCAUCCUUGAAAGAGUGCGUAACAGCUCACUGGUCUAGUGGUUCCGCGCCGACAAUGUAGCGGGGCUCAAGCACACCACCGAAGACGCGGCAACGGCCUUUGUGGCCGUUGGGUAGGAGAGCGUCCCGCGUGGGGCGAAGCGGCCGGGGAACCGUGCCGUGGACCGCGCGGGAGUGAGAAUGCAGACAUGAGUAGCGAGAGACGGGUGAGGAUCCCGUCCGCUGGAUGACCAAGGGUUCCGGGGCCACGUUCGUCGUCCCCGGGUGAGUCGGGUCCUAAGGCGAGGCCGACAGGCGUAGUCGAAUGGAUGAACGGGUGGAUAUUCCCGUACCGACCAUGGACCGGCAAAACCGAGACGGUGAGUACUAACCUCCGCCUCGUGGUGGUUCCUUCCUUCGGGUUGGUAUCGCCGCGUGGUGUUGGGAGCGUAGCCGCAGUAGGUCAGCGCAGGGGUGACACGGAAUGGGAGCCGGCCGCGGAGGUGGUUUUCCGUGGUCAAGCACGCAGCCAGUCAUGUAGGCAAAUCCGCAUGGUGCGCAUGGCGAGGUGUGAUGAUGGGAGCCGUUAUGGCUCGAUAUCCGGUUGUCCAGGCCGUCGAGAAAAGCCUCGGCGUGAGGGCCAUGGCCGCCCGUACCCCAAACCGACACAGGUGGUCAGGUAGAGAAUACCAAGGCGAUCGAGCGAAUCCUGGUCAAGGAACUCGGCAAAUCACUCCCGUGCCUUCGGUAUAAGGGAGACCCGCUGGGGUGAACCGGCUAGCCCGGGGAGCUUUGGUGGGUGGCACAGACCAGGGGGUAGCGACUGUUUACCAAAAACACAGGUGCAUGCGAAGGCGAAAGCCGCUGUAUAUGCACUGACGCCUGCCCGGUGCCGGAAGGUUAAGAGGAUCCGUCAGCCCCUUUGGGGUGAAGCGGUGAAUUCAAGCCCCGGUAAACGGCGGUGGUAACUAUAACCAUCCUAAGGUAGCGAAAUUCCUUGUCGGGUAAGUUCCGACCUGCACGAAUGGCGUAACGACUUCUCCGCUGUCUCGACCGUGAACUCGGCGAAAUUGCAGUACGAGUA